AUUGAACGCUGGCGGCAGGCCUAACACAUGCAAGUCGGGCGGCGCGGCAGACGGGUGAGUAAUGUAUGGGAAUCUGCCUGAUGGAGGGGGAUAACUCCUGGAAACGGUAGCUAAUACCGCAUACCUUCAACUGCUCCCUUAUGGGAUUAGCUUGUAGGUAAGGUAACGGCUUACCUAGGCGACGAUCCGUAACUGGUCUGAGAGGAUGAUCAGUCACACUGGAACUGAGACACGGUCCAGACUCCUACGGGAGGCAGCAGUGGGGAAUAUUGGACAAUGGGCGAAAGCCUGAUGCAGCCAUGCCGCGUGUGUGAAGAAGGUCUUCGGAUUGUAAAGCACUGUAAGUAGGGAGGCGUUACCAACAGAAUAAGCACCGGCUAACUACGUGCCAGCAGCCGCGGUAAUUC
rnacentral:rRNA from 1 species